GACGAACCGUGCAAACGUUGUUCGGAAUCACUGGGCUUAAAGGGCGCGUAGGCGGGUUCCCAAGUCGGUGGUGAAAUCUUUCGGCCCAACCGGAAAAGUGCCGCCGAUACUGGGAGUCUUGAGGGAGGUAGGGGUCGAGGGAACUAAUGGUGGAGCGGUGAAAUGCGUAGAUAUCAUUAGGAACGCCGGUGGCGAAAGCGCUCGACUGGACCUCUUCUGACGCUGAGGCGCGAAAGCCAGGGGAGCAAACGGG
rnacentral:rRNA from 1 species